rnacentral:misc_RNA from 1 species
GUUCUUUCCCUCUAGCUGAAGAAGCAAAAGCCUUGUUACAAGCAAUCAAGCUAGCUUCGAGCAUGGAAGCACAGUCCAUCAUCCUUGAAUCUGAUUUUGAGAUUCUAAUUCAAGCACUAAAGAGUUUUCAGAGUGAUUGUUGUUGGGGAAUCCAAGCUACGGUGAAUGCUAUUAGAGACCUAGCUUCCCACUUUACUCAUGUUGAAUUCUCUUAUGUUAGUAGGAAAGCUAAUGGAGCAGCUCGCCACUUAGCCAAACUUAAUUUUCAUCAUCUAUUGUCA